rnacentral:rRNA from 1 species
AACGAACGCUGGCGGCAGGCCUAACACAUGCAAGUCGAACGAGAAGCCACCUUCGUGUGGUGGACAGUGGCAGACGGGUGAGUAACGCGUGGGAACGUGCCUUUCGGUUCGGGAUAACCCAGGGAAACUUGGGCUAAUACCGGAUACGCCCUUCGGGGGAAGGAUUCAUUGCCGAAAGAUCGGCCCGCGUCGGAUUAGCUAGUUGGUAGGGUAAUGGCCUACCAAGGCGACGAGCCGUAGCUGGUCUGAGAGGAUGACCAGCCACACUGGGACUGAGACACGGCCCAGACUCCUACGGGAGGCAGCAGUGGGGAAUAUUGGACAAUGGGCGAAAGCCUGAUCCAGCCAUGCCGCGUGGGUGAAGAAGGCCUUAGGGUUGUAAACCCCUUUCAGCGGGGAAGAUAAUGACGGUACCCGCAGAAGAAGUCCCGGCUAACUCCGUGCCAGCCGCCGUGUAA